rnacentral:rRNA from 1 species
UCGGGGUGCAGCAGGCGCGAAAACUUUACAAUGCUGGCAACAGCGAUAAGGGGACCUCGAGUGCCAGGAUACAAUCUUGGCUGUCGUGAUGCCUAAAAAGCAUUACAUAGCAAGGGCCGGGCAAGACCGGUGCCAGCCGCCGCGGUAACACCGGCGGCUCGAGUGGUAACCGCUAUUAUUGGGUCUAAAGGGUCUGUAGCCGGCCGGAUAGGUCUCUUGGGAAAUCCAGCAGCUCAACUGUUGGGCUUCCAGGGGAUACUGUUCGGCUCGAGGCCGGGAGAGGUGAGAGGUACUUCAGGGGUAGGGGUGAAAUCUUGUAAUCCUUGAAGGACCACCAGUGGCGAAGGCGUCUCACCAGAACGGUCCUGACGGCAAGGGACGAAAGCUAGGGGCACGAACCGGAUUAGAUACCCGGGUAGUCCUAGCCGUAAACGAUACUCGCUAGGUGUCAGCCACGGUGCGACCGUGGUUGGUGCCGUAGGGAAGCCGUGAAGCGAGCCACCUGGGAAGUACGGCCGCAAGGCUGAAACUUAAAGGAAUUGGCGGGGGAGCAC